UACGGGGGGGGCAAGCGUUGUUCGGAAUUACUGGGCGUAAAGGGCUCGUAGGCGGCCAACUAAGUCAGACGUGAAAUCCCUCGGCUUAACCGGGGAACUGCGUCUGAUACUGGAUGGCUUGAGUUUGGGAGAGGGAUGCGGAAUUCCAGGUGUAGCGGUGAAAUGCGUAGAUAUCUGGAGGAACACCGGUGGCGAAGGCGGCUCACUGGCCCGGUACUGACGCUGAGGCGCGAAAGCGUGGGGAGCAAACAGG
rnacentral:rRNA from 1 species